AUUGAACGCUGGCGGUAUGCUUAACACAUGCAAGUCGAACGAGUAGUUACUUCGGUAACGAGAGUGGCGGACGGGUGAGUAACGCGUAGGAAUCUGCCUCAUAGUGGGGGACAACGUGGGGAAACUCACGCUAAUACCGCAUACGCCCUACGGGGGAAAGCGGGGGACCUUCGGGCCUCGCGCUAUGAGAUGAGCCUGCGUAGGAUUAGCUAGUUGGUGGGGUAAAGGCCUACCAAGGCGACGAUCCUUAGCUGGUCUGAGAGGACGAUCAGCCACCCUGGGACUGAGACACGGCCCAGAGUCCUACGGGAGGCAGCAGUGGGGAAUAUUGGACAAUGGGCGCAAGCCUGAUCCAGCAAUACCGCGUGUGUGAAGAAGGCCUUAGGGUUGUAAAGCACUUUCAAUUGGGAGGAAAACCUACCGGUCAAUACCCGGUAGCUUGACAUUACCUUUAGAAGAAGCACCGGCUAACUCCGUGCCAGCAGCCGCAGUAAAAC
rnacentral:rRNA from 1 species